CAUGGUGGACGGGUGAGUAAUACAUAAGAAUCAGCUUUUAGAUAAGGCAUAAAAGAGUAAUAUCUUGGUAAUUCCUUAUAUGCGCAGUAGUGCUUAAAAAGGGGAGUCCCGUCUAAAAACGAGCUUAUGCCUGAUUAGCUAGUUGGCGAGUUAAAAGCUCACCAAGGCGAAGAUCAGUAGCUGGCCUGAGAGGGCGGCCAGCCACAUUGGGACUGAGACACGGCCCAAACUCCUACGGGAGGCAGCAGUGGGGAAUCUUCUGCAAUGGGCGCAAGCCUGACAGAGCGGCGUCGUGUGAAGGAAGAAGGCCUGAAAGAGGUUGUAAACUUCUUUUACUGAGUAAUGAAUAAUGACAACGCAGUAAAAAAGUAUCGGCUAACUCCGUGCCAGCAGCCGCGGUAAUACGGGGGAUGCAAGCGU
rnacentral:rRNA from 1 species